rnacentral:rRNA from 1 species
GGCUUAAUACAUGCAAGUCGAGGGGCAGCACGGUUUAGCAAUUAACUGGUGGCGACCGGCGCACGGGUGCGUAACUACGUAUACAAUCUACCUUAAACAGGGGGAUAGCCUUUCGAAAGAGAGAUUAAUACCCCGUAAUAAAUUGAACGGCAUCGUUUGAUUUUGAAAGCUCCGGCGGUUUGAGAUGAGUAUGCGUCUGAUUAGCUAGUUGGUGAGGUAACGGCUCACCAAGGCGACGAUCAGUAGGGGACCUGAGAGGACUAACCCCCACACUGGUACUGAGACACGGACCAGACUCCUACGGGAGGCAGCAGUAAGGAAUAUUGGUCAAUGGAGGCAACUCUGAACCAGCCAUGCCGCGUGCAGGAUGACGGCCCUAUGGGUUGUAAACUGCUUUUAUACAAGAGAAAACCCUGGUACGUGUACCAAGUUGAUAGUAUUGUAAGAAUAAGCAUCGGCUAACUUCGUG